rfam:Human gut metagenome DNA, contig sequence: F2-X_000382.
AAUUCAUUCGCAAAGUAAUUAUUCUAUGAAAUGCAAAUUAUCUUCAUAUGUUGUGAAACAUAGCUUAACCACGUUAAAGUAUAAUAAUAUAAGUUAGGUAUGCCCUUAUAAAGACUUAGGUAGCGCUAAGGACUAUAUUAUUAUACUUCUU